rnacentral:rRNA from 1 species
CCUCUAGUGAGAAAGCAACUGCCCGUACCGCAAACCGACACAGGUAGUUGAGGAGAGAAUCCUAAGGUGUGCGAGAGAACUCUCGUUAAGGAACUCGGCAAAAUGACCCCGUAACUUCGGGAGAAGGGGUGCUGACCGCAAGGUCAGCCGCAGUGAAUAGGCCCAAGCGACUGUUUAUCAAAAACACAGGUCUCUGCAAAAUCGAAAGAUGACGUAUAGGGGCUGACGCCUGCCCGGUGCUGGAAGGUUAAGAGGAGAGGUUAGCGCAAGCGAAGCUUUGAAUUGAAGCCCCAGUAAACGGCGGCCGUAACUAUAACGGUCCUAAGGUAGCGAAAUUCCUUGUCGGGUAAGUUCCGACCCGCACGAAAGGCGUAACGAUUUGGGCACUGUCUCAACGAGAGACUCGGUGAAAUUAUAGUACCAGUGAAGAUGCUGGUUACCCGCGACAGGACGGAAAGACCCCAUGGAGCUUUACUGCAGUUUGAUAUUGCGUGUUUGUAUCACAUGUACAGGAUAGGUAGGAGCCGAAGAUACCGGGACGCCAGUCUCGGAGGAGGCAACGGUGGGAUACUACCCUUGUGAUAUGACCACUCUAACCCGCUGCUCUUAGCGAGCAGGGAGACAGUGUCAGACGGGCAGUUUGACUGGGGCGGUCGCCUCCAAAAAUGUAACGGAGGCGCCCAAAGGUUCCCUCAGAAUGGUUGGAAAUCAUUCGUAGAGUGUAAAGGCAGAAGGGAGCUUGACUACGAGACCUACAAGUCGAGCAGGGACGAAAGUCGGGCUUAGUGAUCCGGUGGUUCCGCAUGGAAGGGCCAUCGCUCAACGGAUAAAAGCUACCCUGGGGAUAACAGGCUUAUCUCCCCCAAGAGUUCACAUCGACGGGGAGGUUUGGCACCUCGAUGUCGGCUCAUCGCAUCCUGGGGCUGUAGUCGGUCCCAAGGGUUGGGCCGUUCGCCCAUUAAAGCGGUACGCGAGCUGGGUUCAGAACGUCGUGAGACAGUUCGGUCCCUAUCCGUCGCGGGCGUUGGAAAUUUGAGAGGAGCUGUCCUUAGUACGAGAGGACCGGGAUGGACACACCGCUGGUGCACCAGUUGUUCUGCCAAGAGCAUCGCUGGGUAGCUAUGUGUGGACGGGAUAAACGCUGAAAGCAUCUAAGCGUGAAGCCCCCCUCAAGAUGAGAUUUCCCAUCACUUUAAGUGAGUAAGACCCCUGAGAGAUGAUCAGGUAGAUAGGUUGGGAGUGGAAGUACAGCGAUGUAUGGAGCGGACCAAUACUAAUCGGUCGAGGACUUAACC